rnacentral:rRNA from 1 species
GCGUCCGCAUUGUAAUCUCAAGAAGUGUUUUCCGCUUCGGACCAUGCCUAAGUCCCUUGGAAAAGGGCAUCAUAGAGGGUGAUAAUCCCGUACAUGGCAUGGAGCGCCCGAAGCUUUGUGAUACGCUUUCUAAGAGUCGAGUUGUUUGGGAAUGCAGCUCAAAAUGGGUGGUAAAUGCCAUCUAAGGCUAAAUAUUGGGGAGAGACCGAUAGCGAACAAGUACAGUGAUGGAAAGAUGAAAAGAACUUUGAAAAGAGAGUUAAACAGUACGUGAAAUUGCCAAAAGGGAAGGGUAGGAGGUCAGAGAUGCGGCCUGGGAUUCAGCCUUGCUUUUGCUUGGUGUUUUUCCCAGAUUGCAGGCCAACGUCGGUUUUGGGCACUGGAGAAGGGUAGGAGGAACGUGGCACCUCUCGGGGUGUGUUAUAGCCUCCUACUGGAUACAGCGACCGAGACCGAGGACAGCAGCGUACUCGCAAGAGCGGGCCUUCGGGCACCUUUACGCUUAGGGCGUUGGCAUAAUGGCCCUCUACCACCCGUCUUG